AGAACGAACGCUGGCGGCGUGCCUAACACAUGCAAGUCGAGGGAGAAAAGGGGCUUCGGCUCCCCAGUAAACCGGCGCACGGGUGAGUAACACGUAGGUAACGUACCCUAGAGCCCGGGAUAACCAGUCGAAAGACUGGCUAAUACCGGGAUACGACCAUGGAAGCUCCGGCUUCUUUGGUGAAAGACGGCCUCUGUUUACAAGCUGUCACUCGUGGAUCGGCCUGCGCACCAUUAGCUAGUUGGUGAGGUAAUGGCUCACCGAAGGCUGAGAUGUUAGC
rnacentral:rRNA from 1 species